rnacentral:rRNA from 1 species
AACGAACGCUGGCGGCAUGCCUAACACAUGCAAGUCGAACGAGACCUUCGGGUCUAGUUGCGCACGGGUGCGUAACGCGUGGGAACCUGCCCUUAGGUUCGGAAUAACUCCCCGAAAGGGGUGCUAAUACCGGAUAAUGGCUUCGGACCAAAGAUUUAUCGGCUUUGGAUGGGCCCGCGUUGGAUUAGCUAGUUGGUAGGGUAAAAGCCUACAAAGGCGACGAUCCAUAGCUGGUCUGAGAGGAUGAUCAGCCACACUGGGACUGAGACACGGCCCAGACUCCUACGGGAGGCAGCAGUGAGGAAUAUUGGACAAUGGGCGAAAGCCUGAUGCAGCAAUGCCGCGUGAGUGAUGAAGGCCUUAGGGUUGUAAAGCUCUUUUACCAGGGAUGAUAAUGACAGUACCGGGAGAAUAAGCUCCGGCUAACUCCGUG